rnacentral:rRNA from 1 species
AGAGUUUGAUGGUGGCUCAGGAUGAACGCUGGCGGCGUGCCUAACACAUGCAAGUCGAGCGAGGGUUUGCUCAGUAUUGAGUAUUCUAAAACUAGAAUGUUCAAUUCUGAGCAAAACCAAGCGGCGGACGGGUGAGUAACGCGUGGGUAACCUGCCCUAUACACAUGGAUAACAUACUGAAAAGUUUACUAAUACAUGAUAAUAUAUAUUUGCGGCAUCGCAGAUAUAUCAAAGUGUUAGCGGUAUAGGAUGGACCCGCGUCUGAUUAGCUAGUUGGUGAGAUAACUGCCCACCAAGGCGACGAUCAGUAGCCGACCUGAGAGGGUGAUCGGCCACAUUGGAACUGAGACACGGUCCAAACUCCUACGGGAGGCAGCAGUGGGGAAUAUUGCACAAUGGGCGAAAGCCUGAUGCAGCAACGCCGCGUGAACGAUGAAGGUCUUCGGAUCGUAAAGUUCUGUUGCAGGGGAAGAUAAUGACGGUACCCUGUGAGGAAGCCCCGGCUAACUACGUGCCAGCAGCCGCGGUAAUACGUAGGGGGCUAGCGUUAUCCGGAUUUACUGGGCGUAAAGGGUGCGUAGGUGGUCCUUCAAGUCGGUGGUUAAAGGCUACGGCUCAACCGUAGUAAGCCGCCGAAACUGGAGGACUUGAGUGCAGGAGAGGAAAGUGGAAUUCCCAGUGUAGCGGUGAAAUGCGUAGAUAUUGGGAGGAACACCAGUAGCGAAGGCGGCUUUCUGGACUGCAACUGACACUGAGGCACGAAAGCGUGGGUAGCAAACAGGAUUAGAUACCCUGGUAGUCCACGCUGUAAACGAUGAGUACUAGGUGUGCGGGGGUUACCCCCCUCGGUGCCGCAGCUAACGCAUUAAGUA